rnacentral:rRNA from 1 species
GACGAACGCUGGCGGCGUGCUUAACACAUGCAAGUCGAACGGAAAGGCCCUGCUUUUGUGGGGUGCUCGAGUGGCGAACGGGUGAGUAACACGUGAGUAACCUGCCCUUGACUUUGGGAUAACUUCAGGAAACUGGGGCUAAUACCGGAUAGGAGCUCCUGCUGCAUGGUGGGGGUUGGAAAGUUUCGGCGGUUGGGGAUGGACUCGCGGCUUAUCAGCUUGUUGGUGGGGUAGUGGCUUACCAAGGCUUUGACGGGUAGCCGGCCUGAGAGGGUGACCGGCCACAUUGGGACUGAGAUACGGACCAGACUCCUACGGGAGGCAGCAGUGGGGAAUAUUGCACAAUGGGCGGAAGCCUGAUGCAGCAACGCCGCGUGCGGGAUGACGGCCUUCGGGUUGUAAACCGCUUUCGCCUGUGGCGAAGCGUGAGUGACGGUAAUGGGUAAAGAAGCACCGGCUAACUACGUG